rnacentral:lncRNA from 1 species
UAUAAAUAUGGCUGUUAGGCCCAAGUGGACUCUAAAUCCCACCGCACUUCCCCAGCUUCUAGUAGUCAUUUAACAGGGACCUAGAGACUGAGCGUGGAGCGGUCCAGUGGCUAAAUAGAGAGUUUGAAGCUAGUCAUAUCUGCCCUCAUCUGGUACUGUCUCCUUUAUUACCUUGAAGGAUCGCUCAGUUCUGGGCUGUUAAUCACUUAAGCAGAGCCUGUUUCUGGAGCUAGAGUUCUGCCUCUUAGAGAUGUGAAAACUAACCUUUCCUGGAGAGGUCACUGGCAGCAAGAUAAGAAGCACCUCAGUUCUCCUGGUUGCUGUCAGGGUUGUAUUAACUUGCAGACUUGCAGGAUGGCAGCUGCAAAUCCAUCCAUCAUACCUGGUAAGUUCCGGGGUAGUUUCCCUUCCGCUGGUAGAAGGGGCACCUCCUCCAUGGAAGAGGAAUAGAUAAGAGGGGCUGACGUGAGAGGAGGGGGUAGAGCUCCACCAGCACUUGGAGCCCUGCGGUUUGCUCGUGUCUGAGUCACUGCCCUUUAGGAUUAUGGAGUAAAACGG